UAGGGAAUCUUCGGCAAUGGACGAAAGUCUGACCGAGCAACGCCGCGUGAGUGAAGAAGGUUUUCGGAUCGUAAAACUCUGUUGUUAGAGAAGAACAAGGACGUUAGUAACUGAACGUCCCCUGACGGUAUCUAACCAGAAAGCCACGGCUAACUACGUGCCAGCAGCCGCGGUAAUACGUAGGUGGCAAGCGUUGUCAGGAUUUAUUGGGCGUAAAGCGAGCGCAGGCGGUUUCUUAAGUCUGAUGUGAAAGCCCCCGGCUCAACCGGGGAGGGUCAUUGGAAACUGGGAGGCUUGAGUGCAGAAGAGGGGAGUGGAAUUCCAUGUGUAGCGGUGAAAUGCGUAGAUAUAUGGAGGAACACCAGUGGCGAAGGCGGCUCUCUGGUCUGUAACUGACGCUGAGGCUCGAAAGCGUGGGGAGCAAACAGG
rnacentral:rRNA from 1 species